ensembl:lncRNA LINC02424 long intergenic non-protein coding RNA 2424
AAGCUCCCUGCUCUCAGGAGAAUCUGGCACAGCACCAUCACCAACUCAGAGGGAGGGAAGCAACCUUGAGUCAGCUCCCAGGCAGUAAUGAGUGUUCAAGGGAGAUAUAACUCUAAGGAAAAGGAUUGAGGUCAAGGAAUUAGAAGAAACAGAUGGAAGAAUCAUUUGAACCAUAUCCAGGUCUUUUGAAAAUGAUGAGACAGAAGAGAAAGCGAAAAUUGCUUCAGACAGUUUUGCUGAGAAAUUUGUCUCAGAUAAAUUUUGGAGUAAGGUCAGAGACCUAAGAUAAGAAAACCCCUAGGCAGAGGUGGGAAAAAAUAGAAAAAAGAAAACGAAAAGAGCAAAUACAUUCUUCCUUCCUAUCUUCCACUUGCCAGAGUAGCUUUACUAAGAUGCUGCCUGAUCAUUUCUCUCCAGACACUUUUGCCAAUGAUAUUAAUACUAUAAAGGAGCAUUUCUGGACUUGAUUCAUUAAUGAUUAGAAAGCUCGUAACAGAUUAGAUGACCAGGCUACAGUCUCACCUGCCAGGCAGUGCAGCUGCAGAUCUUGGCUGACCAUCAUGUCAGCACCUACUAUGUGCCAGUCACUGUGCCAGGAGUUGGAAAUAUGAGGAAGACCGUAAUUCUCAUAAUGAGAAUACAAGGAAGACCAUCUCUCAAGAAAGGAACAUCAUAAAACAUGUUUACUGUCAAGUCCUUGUCAUUAUCAAAAAUAUCUCCAGAUUGAUGUCAUUCUGAGAAAAGUGAUUUCAUACUGAAAAAAAUUCUACAAAAAUAGUAAAACUCUUCUUCUCAAUUUUCAGAACUUGGAUGGGGUUGGGGGCAGGUGCUUUCAUCUAUUUUCAUCUUGUCCUGGUAGAAAUUAUUUGCUUGAUUAACAUUUUGGUGGAGAAGUUCAGUCUCUAAGGCUACAGAUGAGAAGAUCAGUUACUGGAUGGGUUCCUAACUUCAAUGUCAAAUCCAAGAGCCUGAAAAUAAAGGAUGGAAAGAAAGGGAAACAAAGAAAAGUUAUCAGACAAUGUGAAGACAUUUUAUGGAGAGGAAGAAAGAGUGAGUGAGCACAGGAAAAAUCACAAAGCAGUAUAUGAAGAAAAGAAAGAGAUAACAGUUAUUAGUAAGUAAAGAGAUAAUUAAGAGAUAAUCCUUUCAGUGGCAUGAACACCAUAGUUUGUGACAUCACUGGUCAUUAAUGAUUUGUGAGAAGCAGUGUCUCAACUAUGUUUCUGUUACAUUAAUUAUACCCAAAAUAAAAUAUUUGCACACC